AGUACUUCUUGCCCUUUGGUUAAGACCAACGGUAGCAUCUGUUAUCAGCUGACUAUCUGAUAUGUCCUCUAUCCAAGGACAGUAGAGUAAAUGAAUUUUCAGAGAGGGAAGAGGGAAUAGGAAGUAGCUGCAUCCGCUCCACACAGUAUAUCCCUGUUACUUCCAGGAGCAGGGUACCUACC
ensembl:snRNA U2 U2 spliceosomal RNA